CUUGUUUCUGGUGUUUUUCUCCAGCUACCUGAUGUAUUUUUGGGCUCCUUCCACUAAGCCUUACAUAUAUUUUAUAACUCCUCGUGUACAGCUCUUCCUUGUAUCCCGUUGCUGUCUAGGAAGUCACAUCUAGCUGCCCUUCUUUCUACAAGCCAUUCUCCCAUUGGAGGUUAUGUCUACCGCCCUAUCUUCCUGCCAUUUUAUCUCUCUGACCAACGUUUCCAUCUCUAAUGACUUCCUUAGCGCCAUGUACAUCGCUUUCACUGCAUUUUCAGUUUUAAAUGCUGUAAAUUACGUAAACCUCCACACAGGUGGAAGCUGUAUUUCAGCUCCACAUUGACUUUAAAUGUCAGAGACUGGAAAUAGCACAGCCCCCACAGUGACCGCAUCUCUCGCAACGCUAUGUCAUCUGCCCUCCAUUGUCCCGGCACGCCAUUUCCUGGUAGCUCACUUGGCAGAGGUAUGAUCCAGAUGGGAAUCCAAGCCAUUGCAAUUUCCAAGGUCAGAUAAUCAGCGGUUAAUUUAUUACAUGGCUCGGGCUUUCUGUAUAUUAAAAUACCUUUUAUUUAGAAUUUAUUGUCACCGGAAUGAAUGAGCACAGGAAUUAAACAAGCAUCAAAGCUUAGAGAUAAUUAAUAUUGAAGUGUCUGUGUACAGGUGGUCAUGCUGCAAUCACUGACAUUGUUUAAUUGGGGGGUGAUACAAGCCAGCAUAUGAAUGGGACCACAUGCAGGCAUAGUGUGGGGACCAUCGCCAGAGCUGGUGGAAUCCUGGGAGGAUGGGUGGUGAAUGGAGAACGCUGGUGGACUUGUUUGGUUGCUAAGAGACGGGAGAGCUAAGUGGUCUCGCCCUAUGCAUGGAGCUGACCUUGAUCUAGUCUGACUGUCAGGUGAAGAAAGCCGCACUUGAUUCAUUGACAUGUUGCCAAAUGAGGUCCUAGAGGCUUGGGGAAAGAGGUCUACAUUUCGGAAAAGGGGGGAGGAGUAAAUGGAGACACGGAGAUACAAUAAAAAAAUGGCACAUAAAAACCAUUGUAUAAAUAUGUUUUAUCAACAUUUUAAUGUAAUUAACAUAAUAAAUCAAAAUUAAAUGCUGAACUGUUAAAGUAGCGGGACAAUUUGUAGGAAUAUUUAUUUGGUUUCUAUAGCGAUUGCUACAGAAUAGCUCUUAAUAAAUAACUCUGAUAGCAUAUAUAUUUAGGAUAAAUCUGUACAUGGAG